UACAGAGGGUGCAAACGUUGUUCGGAAUUACUGGGCGUAAAGCGUAUGUAGGCGGUCGAAUAGGUCGGAUGUGAAAGCCCUUGGCUCAACCAAGGAAGUGCAUUCGAAACCAUUCGGCUUGAGUCCCGGAGAGGAAAGUGGAAUUCUAGGUGUAGAGGUGAAAUUCGUAGAUAUCGGGAGGAACACCUGUGGCGAAAGCGGCUUUCUGGACGAGGACUGACGCUGAGAUAAGAAAGCGUGGGGAGCAAACAGG
rnacentral:rRNA from 1 species